UACGAAGGGGGGCUAGCGUUGCUCGGAAUCACUGGGCGUAAAGCGCACGUAGGCGGAUCUUUUAAGUCAGGGGUGAAAUCCUGGAGCUCAACUCCAGAACUGCCUUUGAUACUGGGGAUCUCGAGUCCGGGAGAGGUGAGUGGAACUCCGAGUGUAGAGGUGAAAUUCGUAGAUAUUCGGAAGAACACCAGUGGCGAAGGCGGCUCACUGGCCCGGUACUGACGCUGAGGUGCGAAAGCGUGGGGAGCAAAAGGG
rnacentral:rRNA from 1 species